GAGUGCACCAGUGGCUGCCGCAGGCCCACAGCAACAGCAACAGCAACCGCAGUGCUUGAAACUCCUACAAUUGGAAUUGGGGCUGGACCCUAUUGUAGUGGACAUGUCAGUUACCCUAGCUUACCUUUUAGCUGAUACAUUCAUUCUACUAUGAAUGUGUCACACAAACAUACAAUUUUUUUUGUCUGUAGUUAGUAUGAUGUUUCGCUGAAGUAUCGUAUCCGGGAUUCUGGAUGACAAUUGUGUCUAUAGUUGGUAAGAAGUAUUGAAGAUGUAUCUGAGAAGUAUCAGGGGAAAUAUUUUCAAAAAAAAAAAAAGUUAUUGGAUACUUUCUAGGUAUGUAUUGAAAAGUAUCAUAUGAAUAUCGUAUUGAAUAUGCGCCGGACACCAUACUUUGGCAUUUUUGAAGUUUAUGGUCUUCAUAGAUUUUCAUCAAGUUGCUUUGUUCAGCAUUUGCUUCAUGAUAUUUGUCUCUCAUAAUAUUUUCACUUUAAUAUAUAAUGAGUGAGUUGGAGAAUAUGUUAAAGAUUGGUCUCAAGUCUCUUGACUACCCAAAUCCAUGGGUAGAGUUUUAAUUUGAUUAUCACUCAAUUAUUUUGAAAUAGUUAAGCAAAGCAUCAUUGUGAGUUUAUAAUUUUACAUCAAGGAAAAGAAAAGACAAUAUAUUUCUCAGUUCAGAGAAAGCAACAAUUUCUAAUUUAGUUAUGUAUUAAUCAUGCGGGUGCUUGUUUACCAUGAUCUUCUUGGUAUGUUACAACACCCCUACUAUGCAAAGGUUACUUCAAAAUUUUGUGAACAAUAUGCUCGUGUCGGAGAUGUCAUCACUAAAGCCUUACUUGAUUAUAAGGAAGAUGCUAAUGGUUUCUUAAAUGAGCUGCAAAAGUUAGGUUUAUAAAAAAAUAAAAUAGUAUUAUUAUGUUUUCACACUCUACUAUCUAAUAAUCGAAGAGGAUCAAGUGGAGAUUGAGUUCUCUGAGAGAUUUUUAAAAUAUUUGUUUGGAAGGUUGCAUAUUAUUAUUGCAACAUAAUGUAUUAGAACGUAUAUGACAAAUUGACAAUCUGGUGUGAAUGGUUCAGUGCGUUUUGUAAACUUACUUUUUAACGUAUAGUUUUAUUUGUUAGGCUAAA